CGGCGUGCUUAACACAUGCAAGUCGAACGAGAGCGUAGAGAAAGCUUGCUUUUUCUACAAUCUAGUGGCAAACGGGUGAGUAACGCGUAAACAACCUGCCCUACGGAUGGGGACAACAGCUGGAAACGGCUGCUAAUACCGAAUACGUUCCGAAAGUCGCAUGACUAUCGGAAGAAAGGAUGGCCUCUAUUUAUAAGCUAUCGCCGGAGGAGGGGUUUGCGUCUGAUUAGCUAGUUGGAGGGGUAACGGCCCACCAAGGCGACGAUCAGUAGCCGGUCUGAGAGGAUGAACGGCCACAUUGGAACUGAGACACGGUCCAGACUCCUACGGGAGGCAGCAGUGGGGAAUCUUCCGCAAUGGGCGAAAGCCUGACGGAGCAACGCCGCGUGAGUGAAGACGGCCUUCGGGUUGUAAAGCUCUGUUAUACGGGACGAAUAGUCUUGUGGUUAAUACCCAUAAGAAGUGACGGUACCGUAAGAGAAAGCCACGGCUAACUACGUGCCAGCAGCCGCGGUAAUACGUAGGUGGCAAGCGUUGUCCGGAAUUAUUGGGCGUAAAGGGCGCGCAGGCGGCUUCUUAAGUCUGUCUUAAAAGUGCGGGGCUUAACCCCGUGAUGGGAUGGAAACUGGGAAGCUCAGAGUAUCGGAGAGGAAAGCGGAAUUCCUAGUGUAGCGGUGAAAUGCGUAGAUAUUAGGAGGAACACCAGUGGCGAAAGCGGCUUUCUGGACGAAAACUGACGCUGAGGCGCGAAAGCCAGGGGAGCGAACGGGAUUAGAUACCCCGGUAGUCCUGGCCGUAAACGAUGGGUACUAGGUGUAGGAGGUAUCGACCCCUUCUGUGCCGGAGUUAACGCAAUAAGUACCC
rnacentral:rRNA from 1 species